UCAAUCACACGCCCCUCAUCUCAGCAUCGCACACGACCACAGUGUCCAUCAAUCUUCCACUGUCGAACAUAGCCACCGCAACUCACCAUUGCCUCGGCUCUCAUCGACAUUCAGGUUAUUCUGUCCUUUUCCAAUUGAAGUUUUUGACUGAUUUCGAUACAUGUAGAUAUAGUUAUGUAUAUAUAUAUAUCGUAAUCUUCGUUCAAUUUUCUGUAGAUUUCUUCGACAUUGUGCUUGCUUUCUUUACCGAUUAAAGUUUUGACUGAUUUCGAUUCAUAUAGUUAUGUAUCUAUCGUAUUUAAGUUUUGAUUUUGACCGAUCCAUCCACAAAAUUGUAUUAUCCAUCCAACUCGUCGAUAUAUCUGAACAUCAUGAAGGUACUCUCUCUCUCUCUCUCUCCCAGAUAAUUCAUCCUUAGAGUUGCAGAUCUUGAUUCGCCAUUGAAGAACUCUCUCUCGGAAGCCCCUCUCUCUUUGUUUCUUCUCUUCCUUCUUGUCUUCUUAUUUUACGAUCUUAAUCUGCUCCUAGGGUUUGGAUUAAGGCCAUAGAGUUUGGAUCGAUGGAUUCAUUAUACAUCCCCUGUGUUGAGCAUGCGAAGCAAUGGCUUUCCAAUUCCAAUCAUCCAAUCGAUUCCGAUCCGAAUGUUACUUAUGCUCGUGCAUGGCUCCAUGGUGCCGGUCCAAGUGGAAGGUUUGGAUGAGCAAUACCAGUAGUCAUUAUUCAGAAGUAGAUUCUUGCAAAGUGGAAGAUCGAUCCAAGACAAGAGACCCUCCUCUUCUGUGGCAGCAAGUGAAUUGGGUUUUAAAGGCAAUGACACACAUAGUGGUUUAAGGUAUUUGGUUUUAAUGCUAUAUCUACAAUAAGAGUGGCUUCUUUCUUUUUGUUUCUCAGAAAUAUUUUUCCUGCACUAACUACCAUGCAAGGUUGCUUUUACUACCUGCCUUAUUUGGGUGUGUGUGUGUCUCUGUGUGGUGGUCUGUUUUCCUAUAGCUAAUGCUUGUUAUUUUGGUUGUUGUGGAAGAGAAAAUCAUGUUAAAGUAGACCCAAACAACUUCACCAAGUUUUCUAGCAAUUUUCUAGGUUACAAAUUUGAUUCUAGUGAAUUACAUGCUUCAUGAAUUCAUUGUUCAGAA